UCUAACUCGUCCGUUCUUCAUCAAGCCGCAGCCAUGGUUGGAAGUGUUAUGGAGGUGUGAUCAUUCUGUAAACAGUGUUGACUUCAAUCAAAGGAAACAUGGCCUCUAUAGCAAGUAGAAGGAAAUGUGUGACGUUCCCGGAUUCAUUCUGCUAUAUUUGUGGGGCAUUCACAGCUCCAAAGCAAAGAAGGAACAUUAGUGAAUUUGUGAAGAGAGCUUACUUUUCCUACUUUAAAGUGAAACUUGGAGAUCAAGACAAACCAUGGGCACCGCAUAAGGAUGGAGUGUGGUUCGACUUCUGGCCAGGAUGAUGAAUGUGAUUAUGUAUUUAGAGACUAGUAUUGCGGGACUUGAAGAUUUGCUCGGACUUGAGACACGACCAUGCAUAGAUCAUGAUCUCAGUAUAGUGGGACUUGAAGAUUUGCUCAGACUUCAGACACGAUGCUUAGCUGAAUGUGCUAAAUACUGAGGGUGAAGAUUCGUCGCUAAACUUCCGACUUCCAACAUAGGCAGAGUAGGAGCAACUGCACUUGGCUGCAGUGGAGUCUUGCACAUAAUUAUCCUGUAAUUGGAUUUGGACCUUGUUGCAUUUUUUAGAAAGCAUAUUGAAUACUGUACAUAAUCAUGCUGACUGGUGUCCAUUGAUAACCCUUGGAUUAUUUAUUCCACCUUUCAAGUUUGGUAAGUGGUGAUCACUUCCAUUCUUUCAUAAAUAGUGAUGCUACAACUGCAACAUUGCCAUUUGAAGUUACCACUGAGGGUGUAGGAACACAUUUCUGCGACUACCUCCUGUACUACAAAUAUGUUAAACCUUCAUAUGAAAAAAAAAAUCUUGCAAGCUGGCAAUUUGAAAGGGGAAAAAAUCUUGCCCUUAGU